rnacentral:rRNA from 1 species
GCGCACCAGUCGAGAAUUUUUCUCAAUGGGGGAAACCCUGAAGGAGCGACGCCGCGUGGAGGAUGAAGGCUUUCGGGUUGUAAACUCCUGUCAUUUGGGAACAAGUUGCACACGUUAACUGCGUGGGCAUUGAUAGUACCAGAAGAGGAAGGGACGGCUAACUCUGUGCCAGCAGCCGCGGUAAUACAGAGGUCCCAAGCGUUGUUCGGAUUCAUUGGGCGUAAAGGGUGCGUAGGUGGCGCUGUAAGUCGGGUGUGAAAUUUCGAGGCUUAAACCUCGAAACUGCAUUCGAUACUGCGGUGCUUGAGGACUGGAGAGGAGACUGGAAUUCAUGGUGUAGCAGUGAAAUGCGUAGAGAUCAUGAGGAAGACCAGUGGCGAAGGCGGGUCUCUGGACAGUUCCUGACACUGAGGCACGAAGGCCAGGGGAGCAAACGGGAUUAGAUACCCCUGUAGU